GAAAAGCCAUAGAAGCAUUAUUUGGGUUCUGCUUCCAUUUCACAGAAUUGAAGUAAUUAAAAAAUAAAGUGAGAACCACCAUCAUCUGAGUCCACCUUCUGGGUCUGCCUUCUGGAAGUCACUCCAGGCCAUAUGCUGUGGUUCUCAUCGAGCUCACCUCACGGAUUUCCUCUUUCAGAACCUACAGUUCUGCACUGAUGACUAUCCAAAAGAUGAAAAGUUAUUUUACUGUAUUUUGUCCACAUUUGUAUCUGUUUAUAGUAAGUGUGAAGUUAUUGCAGUCUGUCUUUAUGGAAAUCAUGGUUUUAUUUCUGUUAGCUUUGUUUGCUUGGUUAAUGUCUCUUCCUGGCUCAAACACAAGAACUUCUAAUUAUUUUAUGGAAAAGUAUAGGACAUAAUAAUAUAAAAUAAUCCUUAGAAUUUAAAUAAACUCAUCUUGAGUGAAUAAAUUAGUGAAAGAAGGAGCUCAAAUAGAAGAUCAAACAAUUUUUAGUAAUUACAUUUUUUGAGAUAGGAGUCUCACUAUGUUGUCUAGACUGGUCUCAAAACUUGUGGACUCAGGUGAUCCUUCUGCCUCAGCCUCCUGAGUAGCUGUAAUUACAGGCACAUGCUACUAGCCCCAACUCAAACAAAUGCCGAAUGACAUAGAUAUAUCAAUUAAAAUAAAGCCUGAAAUGUCAAUAGGACAUAAGCCAUUUUGAUGGAGUGUCAUGGAUGAAAGUCUAAGGCACUAGCACAAGAAAACAAAGACAUAGAAAGUAAACAUGUUACAAACUGAAAAGCUUGGGCAAAUCAGAUUUAUAUAAUAAAGAGUUAUGUAGUCAGCAAUGAUGAUGUGAAAGAAAAGUGGUUUGCAUAUGAUAGUUUGCUCUCUCACAUUCAAUAAUAAAAAUCUACUACCACCAGGCUUUCCAUGGUAUAACUUGGCAUCAGGGAUGACCUGCCUAGAUUAGUUUUUCUUUUUGCUUGAUAAUUCUAUACACUCUAUAAGUUUGUUCAAAACUAUAUUUCUAUAGAAAUUAUUAGUAUACAUUCUUAUUUAUAUAAUUAUUCAACUCAUAAAAUAUUUUUGGGUUCACAGAAAAUGAUUUUCUAGAGAUAGAAGAGUUUAGAACCUGUUUACACUUGAUGCAGAGGGAGCCAGGAGACAUUGCAAUGUGGGAAUCACAUGGGAUUGGGUAGUCGGUGAAGGUCAAAGUCUCUGGGAAGAUAGGAGAGGAUUGACAGCUCUGCUUGAUGCAUCACCCAUAAAUACAGGGAAUUAUUUCCUUUUGAUGCUUCUGAGAAAAUAAAUAACUGUACUUAAUCAAA